UAACCUCUGCCGCAGCAUUUACCUGCAAGAGUUGUCAGGUUUGCUAAAGAAUAUGGAAAAACAGAAAGACAGCGCUUUGAAUUCAGUUCAGGCUCCGCAAUGUGAUUCCUGAGUCCUGACACCAGCAUUUAGGUGCACAAUUAAAGCAGUUUCAAGGCUAUAUUCAAACAAACAUUAUUAUCCACACUACUUAAAAUCUACCUAAUUCUGGGUGAGAUUACAAAAGAUGAGGACUGGACAUGGAAAUGAGGAGCAGACAGCAGGUUGGAAAAUAUGUACUCCCAAAAAAAGGAAUAGUUUUAGGCCGAAAAUUUUGCUAUACUGCCCAAAAUGGAUGUAUUUUCAUACAAUUUAUAAUUGCAAAUGACCAUAUUCAAAAGACACUUGAGGUUGAGGCAAUAAACAAAAUGUAGAAUCCACCAGUAUAACGAGAGAGAGAGAGAGAGAGA
rnacentral:misc_RNA from 1 species